rnacentral:lncRNA from 1 species
UUCUGAAAGAGAUUGAUUAUAUAAAAAAGAAGAUGUGGUAUGAUUGCCAAUGAGACAACUAUCCACAAAAGACCAAAAUAACACAGACAUUAGCAGCUAUAGGUCACCGUACGGCCUUCAACAAUAAGCAAAGCCCAUACCGCAUAGUGAGCUAUAAAAGGCCCCGAUAAGACAAUGUAAAACAAUUCAAACGAGAAAACUAACGGCCUUAUUUAUGUAAACAAAAUGAACGAAAAACAAAUAUGUAACACAUAAACAAACGACAACCACUGAAUUACAGGCUCCUGACUUGGGACAGGCACAUACAUAAAUAAUGUGGCGGGGUUAAACAUGUUAGUGGGAUCCCAACCCUCUCCUAACCUGGGACAGUGGUAUAACAGUACAACAUAAGAACGAACUAUAAAAAUCAGUUGAAAAAGGC